rnacentral:tRNA from 1 species
CAGGGAGACAACAACUGAUCGUGAUGUCUGAGUACUUUAUUCUCAGGCCAUGAUCCUGUCAUCUCGAAGGUCGAUCGGUACCUCAACUUCAAGGUUGAGAUGAAUGGGAUACUUCGGUAAGUCAUUCAUGCUCAGCUCUUGAUUUUCUGUUCCUAAACGUUGUCUAGGUCACCCCAUAGAGGGUUCACUUCCUGGGCCAUUAGCUCAGGUGGUUAGAGCGCACCCCUGAUAAGGGUGAGGUCCCUGGUUCAAGUCCAGGAUGGCCCAUGCCAAGGUCCAGCGAUGGAUCAUUUGGGGGUUUAGCUCAGUUGGUAGAGCGCCUGCUUUGCAAGCAGGAUGUCAGCGGUUCGAGUCCGCUAACCUCCACUAACAUCUGAACUCCAUAAGCAGGAAGCAAUUCUUGUGUGGUGACGUAGACGUUGUUCGCUGAUCAAGAGCACUCGAGAGAUCGAGUGGAGUUCAGCCUCAGAUCAUUCCCCAGUCUUUGAUCCAAGGAUCAAGGUUGAGAUGGUUGAUCUGAUGCUGGAUUCAGCGAAGGAGCCUCGCGAGGGGCUUUUUCAAUGAGAUUCAGCAGAACCUUGACAACUGCAUAGGUGAGUCUGGAAAGACAAAGCAUCUCAUAGAGGCGAGAUGAUGACGUCUGAUGUUCCAUCAUUGAUGGAUGAUCAGGUUGAGUCAACUCGUGAUUCUAUUUUUGAGAGCCGAGACCUUCUAGCGUUCUUCCAACGGCGCCGAUGCCGACGGGAGUCUGAUCCUUGUUUGCGGCAGAGCCGCUUGCGAUUGGGAGACCGAUCAAUAGCGAAGCUGCUUGUCAAACUCGAGAGAAUAGGCCUCAACAGCCUGAAGCGUUAGGAGGAUACAUUU